rnacentral:lncRNA from 10 species
GUCCUUAUAAGGAGAGACAUCAUAGAACUCACUCUCACUUUGUGCAUGAAUAAAGAAGAGGUCAUAUGAACACAGGAAAAUGGUAGCUGCCUGCAAGCCAAGGGAAGAGGACUCAUGAGGAAACCUGUCUUGCUGGCACCUUGAUCUUGGACAUUCCACCCUCCAGAACUGCCCUAGUUCAAUGGAGGAUAUCUUUGAAGAGCUACACCUGCUGCAGAUCAACCCAUGGGACUGGCUGAGUGUUUGUUUUUAUAACAGCACUGCAGAUCGACUUUCCCUCUGCCCAACUCUGCUUCUUUGACCCUCUUAAAGAUGCGCCUUUCAGCUCCCAUCGUGAUAAUGAGGCCUCCCCAGCCACAUGGAACUUUUUCUCAGAAAAAAGAAGUCCAAUCUGAAGCCCAGAGAACCUAUUCCCCAAAGAAAUGAGCUUAUUAUACAAAGCCAAUGGAUUUAUCUUACAAAAAGGGCUGUUUUCCCAGCAGCUGAAACUAUCACUUGCUGGCAACAUUUGGCCCUUGGCCAAACAAAUCUAACUUGCUCAAGUCUGCAGCCUGUCCUCAGAAAGAAUCCUGUACCCAGUGACUGGUCCAGCAUAGGUUCAAAAGAUUGACUCCUUGCAUCAAUAUGGCACAUCAUUGAAAUAUUGUCUGAACUUCAGAGCUCCUCAAGGAUGUUCAUGAGACCUCUGUUACAACUGCUCCUUUUCCUGGUCAUCAUCUUUUCAUCAGCCUCCCGGGUGAAUUAUCUGCAAGUAAAUCUUCACCUGAGACUCAUUUUCUUAUUACCAGACCUACAACAGAUCUCAGACAUUAUCUUUUUAUUAUUAUAAUUAUUAUUAUCAUACUUUAAGUUCUGGGGUACAUGUGCAGAACUUGCAGGUUUGUUACAUAGGAAUACACGUGCUAUGGUGGUUUGCUGCACCCAUCAACUUGUCCUCUACAUUAGGUAUUUCUCCUAAUGCUAUCCCUCCCCUAGCCCCCAUACCCUGACAGGCCCCGGUGUGUGAUGUUCCCCUCCCUGUGUACAUGUGUUCUCAUUGUUCAACUCCCACUUAUGAGUGAAAACAUGCGGUGUUUGGUUUUAUGUUCCUGUGUUAGUUUCAUGUACAAUCUUUAAUCAGGGCUAAAAGUAAU